AUGGGCUCAAGGUUCCUCUGCUGGGUGGCCCUUGGUCUGCUGGGAGCAGGUCUGGGACAGUCUGGUGUCACUCAGACCCCCAUAUUCCAGCUCAUAAUGAAAGGACAGAGUGUGACAUUGAUGUGUGCCCAGGAUAUGAAGCAUGACUACAUGUACUGGUACAGACAAGAUGAGGGACAAGGCCUAAAGCUGAUCUAUUACUCCAUCGGAGCUAAAAGCAUGGAGAAAGGAGAAGUGGCAGAUGGGUACAGCGUCACUAGAGAGAAGACCGAGAGCUUUUCCCUCACGCUGGAGUCGGCUGUGCCCUCCCAGACAUCUGUGUACUGGUGCGCCAGCAGUCAGUCCACAGCGCUGCAGGGCUGUCUCCUCUCUGCACACAAACACAGGGCGCCCUACCCCCACAGACCCUAG